rnacentral:tRNA from 2 species
CACUGGUUAGCUCAGUUGGUAGAGCGCUCCAUUGGAAACGGAGAGGUCCCGGGUUCAAUGCCGGACCUAUCG